GAGUCCAGAGGAUGCCUGUGUGUGGUGCAUCCAGCACGGGGUCCCAGCUGAGAGCAGUGAGGUACCCAGAGACAAGAACUGUGGCAGUCCCUGCUAAAAAUGACCUGGAGGGGCCUGGUUUUCAUGCGGAACCAAAAUGUAGCCUCAGCAGAAGCUGUGCUGUUUAGCUGGCUCAAGAGGACUGUCAGUCCCUGGAGGACUUGGACCCAGGAGCCGCCCGCAGCUCCGACUCUUCCCAGCCAGCGGAGCCCCGGCCAUGGCCGAUCAACAGUGUGAAGACAUGGGCAACAGGCAGUGCACCUGGGAAAGGCAAGUGAGAUCAGGGGCGAGCACAAAACCUAAAGACAUCAAGAGGACCGCAGAGAUGGCUCAGCGUAAAUGCGCCUGCCGCCAAGCCUGACCAUCUGAGUUCAAUCCCCAGAUUCUACAUGAUGGAAGGAGAGCACUGACCCACAUGUGAGCUAUCAUGGGUGUCCUCACCUGGACAAAUACAUGAAUGUAAAAGAAGGUAAAGACAGUAAGAAACGCGCCUCUGGAGCAGAUCGGAGGAUCUUGUGCUUGCCCGACUCACCAGCAAGAACGAUGCUGCAACAGGAUCCUUCUGCACACGUUUAUUGGGAAAGCUUGAUUGCAGAGGCG